CCCCACUCUUCUCCAUGAUUAAGUCACCUUCAACCAGGCCCCAACUUUAACAUUCCCCAUUACGAUUCCACAUGAGUAUUGGUAGGGACACAGAACCAAAUCAUAUUAUUCUGGCCUUUGGUCCCCAAAUCUUGUAUCCUUGUCACACUGCAAAAUACAAUGAUGACUUCUCUACUGUCCCCCAAUGACUUAACUCAUUCCAGCAUUUACUGAAAAGUCCAAGGACUUACAGACCCCAUGAAGUCAAAAACCCAGCAGGCCAGUCAUUGAAUCCUGCAGCUCCAAAUCAUCUUUUCUGAAUCUACAUCUCACAUCUAGAGCACAGGCAUGUGAUGGCUGGGCUCCCAAGGCCUUGGGCAACUCUGCACCUGUGGAUUUGCAUGAUAUAUCCCCCACAGCUGCCCUCAUGGGCUGGGCUGUGUUGAGUGCCUGUGGCUUUUCCACACUAAGGGUGCCAGCUGUUGGUGCAUCUAUGAAUCUAAGGUCUGGAGAAUGGUGUCUCCAUAUUUAGGGACUCCAACCCCAUUUUCUCCUUCUGUACUGCCCUGGUAAAGGUGUGCCAUGAGGCUCUGCCUCUUGGAAAAGCUUCUGCCUGAACACCCAGGUUUUUCCGUACAUACUCUGGAGUCUAGACACAGGCCCCCAAGCCUCUAGUUUUGUGCUCUGUGCAGCUGCUGGCUUAACACUAUGUGAAAGACACCAAGGCUUGGAACUUGCACCCCUGAAGCAGGGAUGCAAACUCUACCUGUGCAUCUUUCAGCCAUGACUGGAGUUGGAAAUGGAACUGCAGGGAUGCAGGCAGCAGUGUCCUGAGGCUGCACAUAGAGGGGGCUCAUGGAACUGGCCCAGGAAACGAUGCUUCUCUCCUAGGCCCCAGGGCCUGUGACAGCAAGGGCUGCUGCAAAGGUCUCUGAAAUGCCUUCAAGGUCUUUUCCUUAUUGUCUUGGCUAUUAGCACCGGGCUCCUUUUCGUGCAAAUUCCUGAAGCCUUCUUGAAUUUUCCCACUGAAAAUCAGCUUUUCUUUCUGACCACUUGGCAAGGCUGCAAGUUUUCCAGACUUUUGAGUUCUGUUUCUCAUUUAAUAUAAGAGUUGUGACUCAUUUAAUGUAAGACCCAUCCAGAGGUCACUUCCUCAGUCACACAAAAGGGCACAGGCUGUUUGAUGCAGACAGGACACCUCUUGAGCUUUGCUGCCCAGAAGUUCAUUCCACCAGAUACUCACUAAGUCAUCACCCUCAAGUUCAAAGUUUCACAUAUCUCCAGGGCAGGGUCAAUGUGCAGCCACAUUCUUUGCUACAGCAAAACAAAACUAACCUUGGCUCCUAUUCCCAGUAAGUUCCUCAUCUUCAUCUGAGACCUUCUAAGUCUGAUCUUUACUGUCUAUUUUCCUGUGAGCCUUCUGAUCACAAGUAUUUAACAAUUCUUUACAAAGAUCCAAAUUUCCCCUCAAUUUCUUGUCUUGGAAGCCCUCCAAACUCUCCUGAACUCAAUCUGCUACCCUCUUCUGAACCUGUUCCUGCAUUAUCACCUAUCUUUGUCAAAGCCUGGCAAUGUGGUAUGGAAGACAAUUCCAUUUUCAGGGGGAAAAUUCAAGGAGGAUUCAGAGACUUGAAUGAAAAGAAGCUGAGUACUGAUAGCCAAGACAUGGGGGAAAAGGCCUUGAAGACACCUAAUAGAUCUUCUUUGCAUUAAAAAUGCUCUCAAUGAUCAAAAAGAAAAGAAGUUUAAUUGUUAAUGAUUCUGCAGGCUGUAAGGAGGCAUACUAGUUUCUGCAUCUCAGAGGACUCAGGAAGCCUCCCAAUCACACCAGAAUGUCAAGGGGAAAUGAGAUAUCUCAUAUGCCAGGAGCAGGAGCAAGCAUGAGAGAGGAAAAAGGUGUCAUGCCCUAUUAUACAACCAGAUCUCAUGAAAACUCACUAUCACCACGUCACCAUCAUGAAGAUGGUGCCUAAACAUUGGUGAAGGAUCUGACUCACACCCCAACUCCCACUGUUUCCAGGCAGAAGCCUCCUGCAGAUGCAGAGACUCUAGGAAAACCACUAUUAUGGAAGUAAAGAAAGAAAAUAUGGGCUUGGAGCCCCCACGCAGGUGGCUACCAACCUCCAGACCCCAGAUUCACAGACCCACCAACAGCUGGCACCCUCAGUGAGGAAAAGCUACAGGCCCUCAAUACCAGUCCAGCGCAUGAGAACAGCUGAGGAGCUAAACCCUGAAAACCACAGGUGCACUGCCCUAGUAGAGGGUUUUCCAUGAGUCCCUCACUCUGCAGCAGGCUACUCCUCCUUCCUACUACCACCCACCCUCCCACCACUCUACUACCGACCCACUCCUCCCAAUCCUACCCAUCCCUUUUACCUUCCACCACCACCAACCUCCCGUCCAUAAUUAAGUCACCCGCUUCAACAUUAGGGAUUACGAUUCCGCAUGAGAUUCACAGGGACACACAGCCAAACCAUAUUAUUCUGACCCUGAUAUCCCAGAAUCUCAUGUCCUUAUCACAGAGCAAAAUGCAACCAUGACUUUUCAAAAAUCUCCAAAAGUCUUAACUCAUUCCAAAUGUAAAAAAAUUCAAAGUCUCUCCUGAGACAAGGCUACAGUCUCUUCUGCCUAUGAGUCCCUGAAUUUAAAAUGGAGUUCUUUUCUUUCCAGGUACAAUGAUGGUAUGGGCAUUGGGUAAGCUUUCUCAGUCCAAAGGGAAGAAAUUUCCCAUAAAAAUAGCACAAACGGGCCCACAGGCCCAACACAAGUCCAAAACUCAGCGGGACAGUAUUCACUCAAUCUCACAGCUGCAAAUAUCAUCAAGAGAACUCACUAUCAUGCAGGCGGCAUUAAGGAGAUAGUGUUUAAAC
rnacentral:lncRNA from 10 species